GACGAACGCUGGCGGCGUGCUUAACACAUGCAAGCCGAACGGAAAGGCCCUGCUUUUGUGGGGUGCUCGAGUGGCGAACGGGUGAGUAACACGUGAGUAACCUGCCCUUGACUUUGGGAUAACUUCAGGAAACUGGGGCUAAUACCGGAUAGGAGCUCCUGCUGCAUGGUGGGGGUUGGAAAGUUUCGGCGGUUGGGGAUGGACUCGCGGCUUAUCAGCUUGUUGGUGGGGUAGUGGCUUACCAAGGCUUUGACGGGUAGCCGGCCUGAGAGGGUGACCGGCCACAUUGGGACUGAGAUACGGCCCAGACUCCUACGGGAGGCAGCAGUGGAGAAUAUUGCACAAUGGGCGGAAGCCUGAUGCAGCAACGCCGCGUGCGGGAUGACGGCAUUCGGGUUGUAAACCGCUUUCGCCUGUGACGAGGCGUGAGUGACGGUAAUGGGUAAAGAAGCACCGGCUAACUACGUG
rnacentral:rRNA from 1 species